UUCUCAGGAGACUUGCUGAGCUUCCCUUUGCGGCUGACUGUGCCCUUGAUGAUGCCCACGCGCCAGUGGUUGCGGGUGCCGACUAUCACCUCCCAGUAAUGUUGGCCACAGGAGAAGCCCUUGCAGCCUCUGCAGGGCAUCUGAUGACUGCUUGACCUGGGACUCAAUGGAGGUUAUGAGCUGGGCCGCCUUCCCCUCAACACUCUCCAGGAAGGUGGCCUUCUCCUCAUCAAUGUAUCUGUGCAGCUCCUGGAACUCCUUCCGGAUCACACACUUGAAGACAUCCGCCUCAUUCUGCAGGGAGACAGCAAGUGGUUGUGCAGGACUGCCUUACUAUGUCCCCUUCACCUGCUCUCUGGUUUCUGAGGUGUCACCAGAAAAGUCAGUGCAUCCCAGCAAGCUGCCCUCCACUUCUGUUCCAAAUCAAGAGUAUCUCUUCACAGAGGCUAAAUGUCGUUUCACCUUGCUGGCCUCAGCAUCAUGGCACCCCUCCCUUACACCCCGCCCAGAUUUUGUGUUCAUGAUGCCCCAGCCGGCUUCGUCAGAACCUUGGAAGAGAGUCUUUGGAUCCCUCUGCUGCCAGGGAGCGACCUGUGUCCUGGGCUAAGUGGGGGAAGUGCAGCUCCAGUUUAAUUUGGGCUCAGCCUUUCUGAGGAUCCUCACUGGGAAGCUUAAGCCUCAGAAGGGAUACCAAGAGGUCUCUUUGAGAUGUCUACCGCGUGGAAAAUGGACACACAUCUAAACCAAACAUAAACUCAAUGUGCAAUUAUCAGCGUUCUGACUGGGAACCCUGCUCUAUCUAAGUAGGGUGUUUUUAACUGUUAU